AGAGUUUGAUCCUGGCUCAGAGCGAACGCUGGCGGCAGGCCUAAUACAUGCAAGUCGAACGGUCUCUUCGGAGGCAGUGGCGGACGGGUGAGUAACGCGUAGGGAAUAUGCCCUUUGGUACGGAACAACUGAGGGAAACUUCAGCUAAUACCGUAUGUGCCCUUCGGGGGGAAAGAUUUAUCGCCAUUGGAGUAGCCCGCGUUGGAUUAGGUAGUUGGUGGGGUAAAGGCCUACCAAGCCUACGAUCCAUAGCUGGUCUGAGAGGAUGAUCAGCCACACUGGGACUGAGACACGGCCCAGACUCCUACGGGAGGCAGCAGUAGGGAAUCUUGCGCAAUGGGCGAAAGCCUGACGCAGCCAUGCCGCGUGAAUGAUGAAGGUCUUAGGAUUGUAAAAUUCUUUCACCGGGGAAGAUAAUGACGGUACCCGGAGAAGAAGCCCCGGCUAACUUCGUG
rnacentral:rRNA from 1 species